UGCCACAUGGUGGAUUUCUCAAACUUAGCUUCUAAGAAAAAAUCAAGGAGGAUAUUAAUCUUUUAUUAUUCAUUUAUUUUUUUUAUUUGUUUUAUUUAGUAAUUUUAUUUUGACCCCAA